rnacentral:rRNA from 1 species
GACAGAGGGGGCAAGCGUUGCUCGGAAUCACUGGGCGUAAAGGGCGCGUAGGCGGGACGCCCAGUCGGUCGUGAAAUCUCCGGGCUCAACCCGGAGGAGUCGGCCGAAACUGGUGUUCUUGAGGGAGGCAGAGGAGUCUGGAAUUCCCGGUGUAGCGGUGAAAUGUGUAGAGAUCGGGAGGAACACCGGUGGCGAAGGCGGGACUCUGGGCCUACCCUGACGCUGAGGCGCGAAGGCGUGGGGAGCAAACGGG